ACACUUCAUCAGUAACACAUAAUUAUUCAUUUAUAAGUAUAAAUCUUUCUCCUUCUUAGCAACGUCACGGCUCGCAAUUAUGCUUUCUAUUUCACCUUUGCACUUAUUGUAAUUUCUGUUUAUAUGGCGCAGUGUCCAAAUGUGAAAGUGAUUGGUGCAAGGGAGCCGUUUAAAGUACUUAAUGGAGCAAAGAUGAUGGGACUUUGUGGUGGAUAUUGUAGGUCGAGCUCUGACUGCUUUUCUAGGUCAUGUCCCCGUUGUUACUAUGAUGUUAUUAACCUUACCUACGGCUGCCAUGCUUGAAGGAUUAUGGGCUAUGGUCACCACAAAUAAAAAUAAUAUCGAGUAAAUUGAUGUUAUUUGUCUUUAUUUUUCUUAUCGUAGAAUAAUAAAAUGGCUCAUCAAGACAAUGUGCGAUCAAUGUAAUAUCAAGAUGGGGUUGUCUUGGCACUUCUAUUUGUACUCGUAAUUUUGAAUGAAAUAUUAUGAUCAUUUUAUUUGCU